GAUGAAGAACGUAGCGAAAUGCGAUAAGUAAUGUGAGUUGCAGAAUUCAGUGAAUCAUCGAGUUUUUGAACGCAUAUUGCGCCCUCUGGUAUUCCGGGGGGCAUGCCUGUUCGAGCGUCAUUAAAUAACCCUCAAGCAUAGCUUGGUGUUGGGCUUUUUUACGUCCUUGACUGGGAUGGGCCUAAAAAUUAGUGGCGAUGGCUUUUUUACUUUCAAGCGUAGUAAAUCUCGUCUUGCUAAAGAGGAAAAAGAUUUUUUUUCUGCCAAAAAUUUUAACAUUUAAAGUUGACCUCGGAUCAGGUAGGAUUACCCGCUGAACUUAAGCAUAUCAAUAAGCGGAGGA
rnacentral:misc_RNA from 1 species